GACGAACGCUGGCGGCGUGCCUAAUACAUGCAAGUAGAACGCACAGUUUAUACCGUAGCUUGCUACACCAUAAACUGUGAGUUGCGAACGGGUGAGUAACGCGUAGGUAACCUGCCUGGUAGCGGGGGAUAACUAUUGGAAACGAUAGCUAAUACCGCAUAAUAUUAAUUAUUGCAUGAUAAUUGAUUGAAAGAUGCAAUUGCAUCACUACCAGAUGGACCUGCGUUGUAUUAGCUAGUAGGUGAGGUAACGGCUCACCUAGGCGACGAUACAUAGCCGACCUGAGAGGGUGCUCGGCCACACUGGGACUGAGACACGGCCCAGACUCCUACGGGAGGCAGCAGUAGGGAAUCUUCGGCAAUGGACGAAAGUCUGACCGAGCAACGCCGCGUGAGUGAAGAAGGUUUUCGGAUCGUAAAGCUCUGUUGUAAGAGAAGAACGGGUGUGAGAGUGGAAAGUUCACACUGUGACGGUAUCUUACCAGAAAGGGACGGCUAACUACGUG
rnacentral:rRNA from 1 species